GGGGGGGGCGCCGCCCACGCGCCUCCCUCUGCCCGCAGAGGCGCUCCAGCCGCCAGCACCGCCCGCGCCUGCGUAGCGGAACCACCCGACUGAAGACUCCGCCCUAGCAGCUGCCGACACCCCGACAACAACAGGAGCCGGGUGAUACCGAAAAUGGCGCAAAGAAACUCUUCAAGACUCGUUUUGGAGUUUGGAAAAGGGCGCGCCCUUUGUCAGGAGGAACACGAGGAGCGAUCGCUUACCAUCGCGUGCCCCGAGACGGAGCUGGGGACGGAACGGGUUCACCGCUUACACACAUGAGAUAAAUUCUCCCAGAAAUCUUAGAUAUUUCUGUUACUUUCCAAGGACGAAUUUUAAUAUUAUGAAAUUUCGCUACAGUUAAAACUCUUGCUCAGUUGAAGCUUUGGAGCGGGCUCUGCCUGAUCUUGCAUUAUAGAUAAGAUGAAAACUCCAAACAGAGGGGAUUACAGAAGAAGAGACAUCUGUUCAGCUCAGAUCACACUGCACACAAGACGUUGUCAUCUUCAAAGAAUGACUGGAAAAACACCGUAUUAAAACUUGUUUAUUAGAGGGACAUCCUGUCUAACUUUCAAAAACCACAAUCCCUUAGAUGAAACUAACAGAUGACUGUACUUCAGCUGAAAUCAAAAUAUUCCACUUUUUGCAAUAGUACUGCUUGUAUUACAAGAGGGAAGGCCACAUUAGCUGAGGAAUUGCCCCUCUUUGGAUACAGUGCGGGUCAGAGGUGGACUGGGAGAGACAUGUGUAGCCAUUCCAUUGCUCACUGCAGUGCUUCUCUCUUACGCGGACUGUCAGAUGGGUUUUGCAUGGAACACACAAACACUGGCAGCUUAUUCACUGAUAACAGACCACAUGGUAUGUGCUGCUAGUCCUACAGCUGGCCUCGGUUUGAGGAGCAAAGGAUUUGUCAUCCUGCUGCACAAAAAGAAUACAGCCGGCAAGUUUUAUUCCUGUGCAAGAAGAGAGCGGUGCUGUCCCCAUGGGUAGCUCCUGUUUUAUUUCAGUCUCUGCAUUCACUGCACCUGGCUGGGAUACAGUGUUUCUUAGAACUUUGCUGAAGAUCAAAGAACUGUGUACUACAUUUUGAAGACUAGCCACAUACCACAGUGGGGUUUAUUUAAUACAACUUUAGUUUCUGAUUGAAUCAACUCUCAAAAAUGGAUUGCCCUACAAAUAUCCCAGAAUAAGUUUGUUCUGUUGGCUUGGAUAAGAAGAAAAGCAUCAUAACACUUGUAGGAUUAUCCUGGAGGUGAGAUAAAAGGAGUUAUGCUUAUGUGCACAAAAAAUGUCAUAGAUUAUACAUACACAAAAACCCUACAAUAUAAAAAAGUGUCCAAUGCUGUGAAGCAAAGCACUCAAAACUGCCAGAACUGGGGUUACUCAUGCCCCAUUUGCACUUGGAUUUACACUUUUUAGUAUGUUUAUAAAAUCUGUGAUCAUAUCUACCAUAUCUUUGCCUUAUUCAGUGCACAAAAUAGGCAGAGCCCACUUAGCAAUCAGCUCUGAGAUUUUGUUUCAUUUUCACAGUGCAGUAGGUGGCCUGUACAUUAGAGUGCAGUACCUUGACAAUAUAAGCAAGCGCUACUCUUCUCUGCACCUGUGGCUAUGUGAUUCUACCCUCCCUGACACUGACACUUUCCCAUAUCUUAUCCCACAGAGGCCAAAUCAAGAGCAAAGUCAGCAAGGAACAAGUAUCUUUUACUUUGUGGGUUUUUUUUUGAUCUGUUGUGCUGUCUGUGGGGCUUUAUGAUAAUGAGGGUGGGCACAAGGAAUAAUGUGGAAUGUGGCGGGUAGAUGUGCUUGGGGACAUGAUUUAGUAGUAGACAAGUAUGGUUGGAGUUGAUGAUCUCAAAGAUCUUUUCCAACUGAAUGAUUCUAUGAUUCUAUGUGGAGUGCUAAGUUGUUUGCAUCUGGUUGAACUGACUUAGGUAAACUUUAACUCCCAUGGAAUUCCAUGUUAAUCUAUUUUUAACCUACUCUAAAGUAGAUCAGUUUCUAUGAAGCUUUUCUUCCACAAGUGAAUUGGGAGCAGAAUCCUUUGGGCACAGUUCUGUUACCAGAAAAGUGAAAUCCUCUUUUCUCUUCAGCAGUGCCGUGCCUUAGUCAUGACAGCACUUGUAACACAUGAAGCUGGGUUUUUCCAGACAGCCUUACCCUUGAUGAAUAGUCAUAGUUUGUUCUCUGGACAUUGUUUUCCUCUCAGCAAAAUGAGGAAGAAGUUUUAUGAAAAGGGAACCACCAUAAACCACUUGACUCUAAAAUGCAAUGUGUAUUUGAUCAUUGCUACCUAAACCUGUAAAGCCAUAAUUCAGUCUCAGCAGGUUCCUGUCCUCUUCUAUGCUGUUCUUUGCUAAUUGCUCUGCAUGCUUCUGAGUUGUCUUGGAUGGAAGAGUCACAGCUGUUACUGGGCACUACUGAUAGUAACAAAAGACACUGACUAGUUCUCCCGGAAGCAGUGGAAUCGGUGGCUUGAUACCACAUUCACCUUCUGUGUUUUACUUUGGGCUUCUCUUGCAUGUGAACUUUGGAGCAGGGUGUAAUUUUGGACAGCAAAAAGUUGCUGCUUUACUUCUUAUCUUGACACCUGUCUUUCAUUAAAAUAGGCUUCAGUAGACUAGAAGUAACUUGUAGAUUAAGGCAACUCAAGUCUUAUCACUGCAGAUUUUUACUGUUGGGUGCUUAAGCUCUCUGCAUAAUGUGUAGAGAGAUAGUCACUUAAAAAAUAACAGAUUGUAAGAUGUAGAAUGAGAGCUUUUCUGCAAAAGCAUACCUGGAAGUUGCUACCUUUUAACCAAUCAUCUUUGAGGGAAAUCUAAGUUCAAUGCCCAAGGGAUUUGUGGUCACAGACUUACUUGCAAGACAAGAUAUUUUGAGCGCUACUCUUGAGUUCUUCCUAUUGGUGCUAUUAAUACUUCAAUAUCUGACAAUUCUUGUUCAUGGGCUACAGAAAGAGAUUCUUGCUUUUCAAUUGUCCACAGUCAAUGGAAGCAUAGUUGCCUGUGGAUAUUUACCAGUGGCUGAGAGGAAAUUCAUGUCACAUGAAUGAACACUGGAUCACGAAUUUUGGACGUGGAUACAUAAAUCCUUUUCAUCAUUGUGUUUGACAUCUGUUGGAUUUGACUAGGCUGCUCUCCACAAACAUCUCUGAGUUCACUGUCCCUUAAAUAGGCCCAAUCUAUAGACUAGCUUGCUUACCACUGUCAGAGUUGCUGUUAUAGAUCCCACACAGAGCUAAUAAUUUGCUAUUUUCUUCUAACUUCUCAUUCAUAGAGUUCAUCACAACUUCGCUGCAUUAUUGUUCCUCCUCCUCAGUCCUUUUGGCUGUUCUUGCCCUUCUCCCUUCACACCUUAUUUCUUACUGAUAGAAGGAUCGUCUGUGUCUAUUUUGGUCCCUCUUCUAGGCCACUGUCUGUACCUUUUCUCCUGGUGAUGAGGAACUGUGUUUUUGUAAGAUACUGGAAUUCAAUAACUUUGAUGAAAUGAGUAGCUUAUUGUCUUGUACUGUGUGGCACUCAACUAAGAAUAGGACUUCGCCAGUGUGUGCCUAAGACUUACAGUGUCCUCUGAUAUACAUCAAUAACUAGGUUGGGUGGGUUGACUCUACUUUUUUUCCCCCAAAAAAAUAUGGAGAUUAGGAGAUGAGUGAGUUAGAUACAACUAACUUAUCUUGCUUCUCUCCCCCAACCUUUUAUUUGUAAAAAUGGAGGCCUUUCUUCAGGAGACACAUUUUGAGAAGCCUAGGCUACAUAUCUGUUCUGACUUCAAUCACAGUUACUUCUGUCCAUCAGCUAGAUACUUUCCUGCCCUAACAGAAAAGUAUCACGGCACAUGCACAGACACUAACAUCUUGUCUCUUCAAAAUAGAGACAGAGACAUCUGCGCACACUGAUGCACCUUCAGUUCUUCUGCCUGCAGUUUGAGAAGAUGCUAACUUGGGAAUUAUCUUAGCUAUGCUUUGAGCAGGGAGUUGAAUAGAUGACCUUCUGAGAUCACUUCCAAUCUAAAUUACCAUUCUAAGAUACAUCAAACUACAGGAAAGCAGGGACAAAGACAACAAAUAAACAUUCAGUCUGUGAAUCUCAAUAAACUCUGGCUAUUAGUAAGUUUGGACUUUUUUACAAUGAGUAAAAAAUCGUCCACAUACAUCGUCCACAUACAGAUGAUGAGUCUGUAUGUGGAUUUUUCUAGUUCAUAUGGAUUAAUGCAUGACAUCACCUUUAGCAUGAUCUGAACCCUUUGCAAAAACAGCCGUCUUACAUCUGCUCUUUUCAACUUCUAUAAGCUUUAGUUGGAUGAAAAUAGAGGUCAAUAUGGGCAUUUUGCUGCCUCAAGGAUGAAAAGCCUCCCGGUGUUCAAGCAUUGUCAGUGGUAUAUGUUUUAAUUACUAAGGUCAGCUUUGCCAUAGCAAAUUUUAGUGUAAUUUUAUUAGCCAGUUAGCCAGAACAGUGGUUUUGGCUUUGGCUAUCCUAGCAAUGGAGGCAAACAGUCUCAGGAUAUGUUUGAAAUACCUUGACUUGUGAAUGACUUGACUUCAAGACUACUUACCAUAUAUUCCUGAUAUGUGCUACUUCUGAAUCCUGGAUGCUUGAGAUCAAGAAUUAAAAAUGACUGAGUUGAGUUUAAGAAUGGCUUUUCUAUAAUGAUAGAGACUUUGCAAAGUAGUGGAAGCUGGAAGCUGUUCAGUACUCUGAACAGGUAGACUGUAAACACAUGAAUGCUAUGCCUGAUCUGCCAAGUGCUGGAGUAAAGACAUGGGCAAGUAUUUGUGUUGCCCUGUUUGCUAAUAUAAGGCAUCAUGGUACUAGUUGUCAGUUGUACAGGAUUAUCAUACCAGGGCCUUUUAUUUCUCACAGGUUUGAAACUUCCCAGCUGUGUGAAUAGCCACUUCAUUCCCCAACCAAUGUUCUCAGCACUGUUGAAUAAGGAGGGCAAAGGGAUGGCACAAUAUGUCUAUAUACAGUAUGAAACCAUUUGGGUAAGGCAAUGUUCCCUGAAGGAAACUGGGAAUAUGGAUUGUAUAAAUGGAUGUUUGCAGAAGGGUUGUAUAUGAAGCCUGGCAAAAAGCCAUAAAGAUGUGUUGGUGUGUGUCCUGCAUUCUCCGCUUUCAGUUAGGUGAGGACUCUUGUUAGCCCCGAGACCAGACACAGUGGUUAAGCAUUGAGUUGAUAUAAUUAAACCUUUCUUUUCCAAAGUAGGGUGGCUCCUUCAGACUGUCUGCAGCAGCAGUUGUUAGUACAUGCUGUCCCCCCAAACAUACCCCAAGGCACUGACUGAAAGGUUAGACGUGUGUUAAGGGAAAUGAGAAAAUAUGAUAAAUAUAUCCAUGUAGGACUUAGAUUUAUUGAUAGCUGAUUGUGAUAAGGACAGUAUUGUAUUAGGAAUAUAAUAAGAAUAGAUGUUGGAAAAUAAUCUUUAUGACAACUACAAGAACACUGUUCAAAUGUCCCAUGUAUAGCCCCAGUCCAGCUGAAUCAACAGAUUAUGUAAGAAAUAUCAGACUUACCUAUUUUUUAAUAUAGGCAUAGACUAGGUAUGGGUAUAAUUUGAUGGAACAGCUUGAGGUUUUUCUUUGAAGUUUAAAGGUGAAUAGAUGUGUCUCAAGAAAGAAGAUAUGACUGGAACAUGACCCGUUGAAGCAUCACUUUGGAGGGAGAACCGAAACGAGACAGUGGAGCUGAAUUAUCAUGGUGGACUUUUGUGGACUUUUGAGUUAACAAAGAAUGAAGAACUAGGAGCAUGUGGAAAAACACCAAGAACUUUUUACAGUAAAUAUCUAUCGUAUAAUGCUAUGUUAAAAUGUAUAAAUAUCCGAUGAUUUUGUGUGGGUUUUUGCCAUUCACUGAGGUUAUGGCCCAACUCUGAGCUGUGAAUAAAGCAAGCCUAGAGCUAUCCACUGUCUGGUAAAAAUCUUUCAACAAGGUGGCACUGACCAGAACAGUGCUAGGGCAUAGUUCAGCAAUCAAACAGUCACACUAUUUCUGCUUAUGCCUCUACCCCGAUCCUUAUAAUUUUUUAGUAUAGGUGUAACCUCAGUUGAGAACCUUGGGGCCUGCAAAGUUAAAAUACAUUAUCUAUAGCAGAGCUAAACACCAACAAAGCUUUUUUCAGAGGUUAACACUGACUCAUUCUCUAACUCAGUAGGGAAGCAAUGUUUUUCCAGUAGCAAGCUGUUAUUGUGGCUAGGAUCUUGAUAAAUAUGUCUGGAACCAAAGAUGGCCAAACUAAAGGACUGUAAGGUGGUAUUGGUAUCACCAGUAGAGAAACACAGCUAUUAGGCAGUCCCCUGCUGCUAUUCAUAUGAACAUACUUCAAGUGCAGCAUACAAAACAUAUCUUUCCUACAGAGGCAUUAUCAUGAUCAUCCUGACUUGAAUUUGAAUUUGCAGGUCAUCUUGGGCACUUAUAAGGUCAGACAUGGCCAUCACCCCCUGUUCUGCUGAAGUGUCACUAGUAUCCUGAGACUACCUGAGGAAAGCAGGUUAUAAUGUCACCCCUGAUCAACAACGGUGUGUAAUGAGGAACUGACUUCACAUAUAGAAAUAUCCAUAGCUUUAGUUCUGUGCACUGAGCUUCAAAGAGUUACAAAUAGUACUUUGUGAGACAUGCAGGAAGGUUAGCUGCUUUGUAAGGGAAGGAGAAGCUGUGGUUUCUUGUUGGUUACAGAGACCUCCCUGGACUCCUCACCAUCCUACGACCAUAUCCAGUGCUCCCAGCAAAGUACAUACAAAUGGAAGUUUGCCUUCAGUGCUUAUCUGGGCCCUGUGGAAAGGAGAGUGCAGAAUAUCCAUGUGAAAGGUUGAACUUUCAUGUGCAGUGUGCUGCACCAGAACAGCUGUCAUCUCUGAACAGUUUCCACCUUUUCCAAGGACCAAUGCAAGCUUUAAAUAAAAGACAAAUGAUUGAGAAAGGACAAAUGACAGUGGAAGUCAAUCGUGAGGUGGAGGAAAGGGCAAAUGGAAAAAGCCCUAUUUAAUCCUUUCUCUUGCUUGUUCAGGAUGAAGAUGUGUUCUGACUUCUUGUGCUCUCUGCCCCCAGGCAAAGCUUAAUGCUGCUAGAGCUUAGCCAUUCACCCUGGAUGCACCUCCAGAUUAGGCUGUGUAUACAUGGGCGUAUCUAGAACAGAGGUAUUUUUAUUACGGAUACAGUGGAAGAGAAUCUGCUAAGUAAAAAGUUUAAAUCAACUGGUAACAGUGGAACAGAGGUGCAAAACAGGCCUUUUAAGAUGCAUUGACAAGCAGCCCUUUGACAGGUUAAAAAAGAGAGGCUAGGUUCUGGUUAAUUAGCAAAGUACUCUGAGUACUUUAAGCAGAUGCUCAUCUAGAUGUUUCUAUCCCUGGUCAGUUAUUUUUGAAGCAUUAAGGACACACAGCAGGGAGGAACUGUUAAAGUGUAGACUCUAAAUUGCAUACCAGACCAACAAAUAACAGCCAAAUAGUGAUCAGGUGUUUCUAAGAAUGCAUGCAUAUAAUUAACUCCAAUACUUGAAUACCAAACUGAGAUUGCAGUCCUAGUAUCUAGUUCCUUUAAAAGUCUGAAAACAAGUUCCCUUCUCCUUGCAGAAGACUGGAGUGAAAACAAGAAUUGCAAGUGUUACUUCAGAAGGAAUAUCUAAACCUCAAUGCAAAAUAAGAGCAACUGUGGGAUUCUCAAAGCAGGAAAUAGAGCAACUUAUUCUUUCUUUUUUCACCUGAAUGUGCAGUUCAGAAGCAAGGCUGAACAGUCUUUGACUGCACCUAGUUCUGCUAAUUGUCUGUCCUUGAGGUGUAUGUGUUGUACUGCAGAAACUGACAAGUUUGGCUUGCUUAUAAUAGCAAUGAGAGGAGAAACCCCUUACCUCACACUAGUUCAUCCAGGUAGCACAGGACAUUACUGAUCAAUUAUAACAUUUCGUGUUACUUUCUUUGGAUUGAAGAUAGUUUUCAAAUUUGAUACAAACCAGCAGUUUUUACAUUGCAGUAAAAAGGGGCGUUUCUGCUGAAAACUGUUGUCUGAUUCUAAUACAGUGUGAUAUGGAAUGGUAUAUUCAAAGUCAAUUUUUUUUCUUUUGGCAAUUCACCUUCAUUACAAAAAAUUCUUUUAACUUAGGAAGAAUCUAUAGUGAGCAUUCAACCAUGUAUACCUGCAUUUUGCACCAUCCCCAAUGUAUCCAUGUUAAAUAAAUGCAUUUCUCCAGUAACAGUGCAAUAUUCCUUUUGCAAUUAGUUGUUAACUUUUCCUAGACCUUUCCAGUUUUUUAUUGGUUGCUUUCUCUUCUUUUUUUUUUUUUUUUUUAAUUUUGUUCAGGUUAAGCACUAGCUUAAUUAAAUUAAAGUGUAAUUAUUUUUAAGGAAGAAUUAUAUUUUCGCGGAAGUGCAAACCCCUCCGUGGAUUCUUCCUGAUUUAAAGGAAGCUUCUAUGGUUAUAGCUUGCACCUACCAGUCAUACAAAGACAAACCUAUCAGACUGAUUUCUCAAUAUACUCAUUCCAAUAGCUGAAAUGGAUCUGCUGUAUUGUAUUCAUUAACCUGCCCUGGAGUUCUAAUGGUUUAUAAGAUUUUAAUCUCUGUAUUUACAGUGUAUUAACUUAUUUUACAGUGUAUUAACUGCUUUUAAAAUGCAUCAAAACUUCAAAAUAAAUGGAUGUUUCCAGACAAAGCCUCCCUCUUAAAGACAGAAGAAUCUUAUUUGACUGAUACUCCGAUUUCAUUCACUCAGACUGUUACAUUGGUUUCUAGUGCAGUUACUCUUUUCAGCCUUGCUCUGAUGCUUGUUUUGGUAAUUCAUUUACUUUAUACAUGGUUCCUUACCUGAAUUAGCACAUGCUCUUCCUUAAGUGCACCUGACAUUUGUGUUGGAAUCAUGCUGAAGGAAGUGUUCUGCUUUGAUAAGGAAAGCUAAUUUAUUUUUAAGUACUUGGCUAAUUUUUUCUCUGUCAUAUCCUUGAUGAAUAUUUCUUUUCAGUUAUACUAGGGAGCCUCACUGGCUCUCGUUAAAAUGACAAAAAGUUUUUUCCAAGGGAAACCUCUCCUGUCUAACACAUCUCUCAUCCCAUUCUCUGGUAAGCUAGCUCCUUUGCUCUUGUGUGAGCAGAGCAUGUGAACUCAGUGCUGCAGCAGCCCAGAUGAUCCAUGAUUCACACUCUGUAUUAAGUUGAAGAGUAUGCAACAAUUUCUGUAACCUGUAGAUACUGUUAAAGGUGGGAAGCAACCAUUGAGAGUUCUUUGACAUCUCAUUGAUGAUGCUUAACCAUUUCAAUUCCCUGCUACUCCUUAGCAGCUGUUCAGUACUCAGAGAAGGGUUAGCCACAUGAAAGGAUUGGCUUCUGGGUGCAAUUUUUGUGAGUCCAACUUAAAUGCUAGUUCAGUGUCUCCUAAAAAUGGCAUGUUUUUUAGUCUUCUCCCCUACUCCUUCACACAGAUUUUCUAAGUGGUGCCAUUCUCCCUGUCCCCACCUUGUCACUGCAGUUCUAAGCAAAGAAAUAGCCAGCUCUCCAGCUGCUGGCUUUAGCUCAGGAGUGGAAGUUUGAGAAUUUGGUGAUGGCUGGGUGAUG